CUCUUUAUCAUCUUCCGCACCCGAGCCCCGGGCUCACUCGCUGGGGCUGCCGGAGGACGCGCUGCUGCGAGACCAGCCGCGGCGUCUUUGGCAGUAGUGGGCGUGCUUGCGGGUCCAGGAGGGCCCCUCUCCCGCGACCGCCGACCACGAUGAGAGCGUGAAGACCCUCUCGAAAGGAAGGGCUCUGCUCUACACACUGGUGUCUCCUGCGGAAGGGCAGCUGGGCACGCCUUCCAGACCGAGGUAUCAGACGAGAGGCCCCCUGGGGACGGGGCGGUUACCGCAGUCUCCCUUCUUGCUCCCGACUGUCAGCCCUCCUCCCCUCCCAUCAGCAGCUCAGGGAUGGGGCUGGCUCUGGGGCCUCCUCUUCCAUCAACCCCUCAGCUACGGGGCUGGUUCAGGGGACUCCUCCCCUCCCAUCAGCAGCUCAGGGAUGGGGCUGGCUCUGGGGCCUCCUCUUCCAUCAACCCCUCAGCUACGGGGCUGGUUCAGGGGACUCCUCCCCUCCCAUCAGCAGCUCAGGGAUGGGGCUGGCUCUGGGGCCUCCUCUCCCAGGCUCAGCUGCCGCUGGGACCCACUCCCCUGAGCGCCUCUCCCCUAAGUAAUGUUAUUCAUAGCAAAAACUAGAAAAACACAUUUUAAUGAAAUAAAUGUUCAGGUUAAUUUUAUUAUAGCAUGCCAACUAAAUGUUUUAUACUAUAGAAAUAAAUAUUUAACAAAAUA
ensembl:lncRNA novel transcript